rnacentral:rRNA from 1 species
GUGGGGAAUCUUCCGCAAUGGACGAAAGUCUGACGGAGCAACGCCGCGUGAGUGAUGAAGGUCUUCGGAUUGUAAAGCUCUGUUAAUCGGGACGAAAGAGCCUAGUGUGAAUAAUGCUAGGAAGUGACGGUACCGGAAUAGAAAGCCACGGCUAACUACGUGCCAGCAGCCGCGGUAAUACGUAGGUGGCAAGCGUUGUCCGGAAUUAUUGGGCGUAAAGCGCGCGCAGGCGGAUCUGCCAGUCUGUCUUAAAAGUUCGGGGCUUAACCCCGUGAUGGGAUGGAAACUACAGAUCUAGAGUAUCGGAGAGGAAAGUGGAAUUCCUAGUGUAGCGGUGAAAUGCGUAGAUAUUAGGAAGAACACCAGUGGCGAAGGCGACUUACUGGACUGUAACUGACGCUGAGGCGCGAAAGUGUGGGGAGCAAACAGGAUUAGAAACCCCGGUAGUCC